rnacentral:tRNA from 1 species
GCAGAUAUAGUAUAAAGGUUAGUACUAUAGACUUCCAAUCUUUAGGUGAGAGUUCGAGUCUCUCUAUCUGCUC